GAGUGUUAAUGUUAGUUUAAAGUUUGUUUCAUACCAAAUCUUAAGUUUCAAUAAUGUGCAGUGGUAGCCAGGUAAAACUGUUACGUAGCCUACUAUUCGUUUAACUAUUGGCAAUUCUUAAUUCUACACCUAAGCCACCAACAACUAACAAUGACUGGCAUUAUCAACACGAUGGAGGAUGCGGGGGUGAAAUGUUUGGCAGCUGACCAUAGCUCAAUUGGGUUACCAUGGAUAUUUGCUGCUAUAAUAGCUGCCAUCUUUUGGUUAAAGGUUGUAAAAGGGCAAGCAAAUGUUUUUGGCCACACUUCAUUCUUCACGUUUAACUCUGAUUUGAAGUACGAUUUACUCAUUGUCAAACUGGAAAAUCUGCAUCAUAAACUGGACAAACUUCAACAAACUCAUCAAGUGUUAGAGGAGCUUAAGAUGAAAACCAUUGAACUACAAUCAGACAUCAACUGUAUGAAGUCACAGCUGACAACAUUGAAGUUUUCAUCAGCUGGGGCAAACACAGCAUCUUUUACAGGAGGCCCUCCACCACCUCCUCCGCCACCUCCUUCAUUUUCUCUGGUGACUCCAGCUCCAUUUAUCAAGGCUAAACCAACCUCAGUCAAGACUGCGAAGGACCCUAAAGGCCCCCCACAAUUCAGCAUCUCCCAGGAUGAUAUUGCCAAGAUGCUGCAGAAACUGAAGAAAACCUCUUCCACUUCACGAUUGGUCAUUGGGUUCUGGAAACAACGUACCAAGGAAAACGCCUCCAAGAAGGAAACUCUUUGGGAAAACACCAGGGCACUCAAGGAAUCGACGAAGCUUCACAUCCCUGUCACCAGGAGAUGACCGCACCAGACACAAAACACCACUCAGUAGCAUAUCAUCUUCACCAGCUCACACUGAUGUCGAUGUCAAUGAAAAUGCCGAAAAUGGCUGUGACCAGCAGAAGUGAGAAUACAAAGUUACCUGACAACUUCCCAUUCCAGGAAAAGAAGAUAAUUUUACCAGUGAACUGUGUACUUCACCAUGUAAAAAACACAGACAGACCUAAGUACACUGCUCAUUACCUCUGUGAUAUGUAGUCUUUUAUUCUAGUCUUUAACUAACUUGACGAUCAUAUCUCUUUGAUUUUGUACUAACUCUGUAUGUACUUUUUUAUUCUAGUCUUUGUUACUAAUGAUACUUUUUUUCAACCCAAUGAGUGAGAUUUCAUAAAAUAACAGCCUUAAAGCUUUGUACGGGUAAGGAACACCUCUAUUUUGACAGCUAAUUGUAUAUUGGUUUUUUUAAUAAUAGUUAUUUUUCACUAAAUUAUUUCUGAAAUAAUUAAUCUAAAUAAAUGAGAGUUUUUUUGCACUAACCCAAAUUUUUGUUAUAAAUGUGUUUUCCUCUGGCACAUAAAGUGAAAAGGCUGAAUAAAAAAAGCUAAAUAAAAUAAAAUAAUUGAAUAAAAAUUAAAAAUACAUGUUGUGGUUUGGUAAAAUACAGUGAUUUUAGAUUGCAUAAUUGUUCUUAGUUUACUUGAAAAAAAUCAUGUCAAUAAUGUCUUUGACCUGAGAAGAUAUAGUCUCUGAAUUGUUGAUAUUGAAUUAGUCUCUAACUUCUUCAUCUUUUGGUUUAAAAGUUCAACCAGACCUGAAACGUUUAUAUUUUCUUCAUUAUCAUCUCAAGCUGACAGGAAAAAUUUUAUUGUGUAGCUGGCUGUUAAUGGCUUUGCCCAAAACCACUCAUUUAUGUUCGGUGUUGAAUUUUUCCCUUCCUUAGUAUAAAUGACAAAGGUGUUUUUAUUUCUUAAGUUGUUUGUAUAGUCUUCAUGUUCGCAAAUAGUUUAUUUUGCUAAGAAAUGGUUGUAUUACAUUGUAUUACAUGGUUGUAUUACAUGUAUUGUGUUUUGAAAGAAUAUUUUAUCACUAUGUUUAAUUAAGGAAGAAGACAGACAGAGAAAAUUUCAUUGUGUAGCAGUUAACAGGGUUAAAGCGGAAACCACUCCUUUUUGUUUGGUCACAUUGUUUUGUUUUCCUUGUUAAAAAUGUUUUUGGUUCAUUCAAUUUGAUCAUAGUGUUUUGUUUUAUUUAAUCUAUGUUGUUUUAUUAAAACUACAUAAUCAUUUGCAAACAAGAGAGUGGACAAGUAUUGGUUUUAUUUGAAACUACAAGAGUGCUUAAUUCAUUGAUAUUUUAUAGUUGUAAAUACAUGUUGUCUGUAAAACAUGGGAUGUAUAAAAUUUAUCCAAUCAUUUCAACUCUGUUUAAUGUAUUUUCUCACGUAUUACAUGACUAUUCAAGUUUUUUUGAAAACUUUACAGAGUUUUGAGUUUGUUGCACUGUGUUCUUGCAUAUUCCAUCUAAAUUGUAACAUGUACAACUUUAUUAAAUUAGCAUCAACAACCACUUGUACUAUUACCAAGAAGUAAAAUUCUUUUACAAAUAUCAUCAAGGAAUUGGCUGUUAUUGUUUGGAAGUCACCACUAAUUUUUUUAAUAGAUACUUUUCAUUAUGUACAGUCAAGUUUCACUAUCACUACAGAACUGGUGAAUAAUAUUUACAAAAUGUUCCAAUUCAUAAUGUUUAGUCCUAUUGAUUUAUAUCAUUAAUUCAGCAUUGAAAUAGUUAUGAUCACAGAUAACAGAUUUAAGUAAAAUGUUUCACAACUUAAUACAAGUAUUAAGACGUUUUUAGUUUGUAUUAAAAAUUACUCAACAUUCAAAUAUUGGCUCUUUCACGACUACCAAAAGUGGACAAGAGCGUACUUGAAUUUUGAGUUGCUUAUAAUUAUUUGUUGUCAUAUACAAAUAUUUUAUGCUUGUGUUAAGUUGUGAAACUACUCAACAAAGUCCAUUUGAAAAUCAAAACAUUUUAGAAAAUUAACCAAGCACCAGCUGUUAAUUCUCAAUUGUGUUUGAACUCAAUUAUGCCUUAACUAAUACAAUGUGAAAAGGUUUUGUCUGUUGGUUAAUUAAUAGUUGUUUUAUGUUUACAAAACUUUAUUGCUUCUAUAAAGAAACUAAAGGUAAUUGCAGCGUAUAGGUUUGACAAUUUUUAUCCUACUAUUUUUAAGGCAAAUAUUAGAGUAAUGAAUAGCUUUUUAGGCAACAACCUUAGUCUAGUCUUACUUUAAUUUACUCUAAAUAUUUCCUCUAAAUGUAUCUCAUUGAAAUAUCUUAUAUUUAAUAAAUAUAAAUAAAUUGUAUUCGUUAAAACAACAUGUUAUUAUAAUGGUUUACUAACUAUUAACUUGAUUUUGGAAGCAAAUACUAUAAAAUGAUUCAAAAAGAAAUGUAAUAC